UGAAUGGUCACGCGUUUUCCAUUUAUUAUUUGGUUUGAGUGGAUGACUCAUGCUGUUACGAACUUGUCAAAGAAAGUGUCUGGGUAGGCUUAUUAGGUUGAAAGGCACGCCUGUAAAACAAUCGUCCAAAGUAAGAGAGAAGAAGACAUGGGAAGAGGAGAGGAAAGAAAGACGAAGGGGAAUGGAGAAGAAAAAUAUCAGUUAGCUAUAUCGAGCUUAGAGACAGGGAGAAGAAAAUAGUGAGAGUUAUUUUGUACUCCUAUUAUUUCAAAUAAAAAAAGAAAGUAGUACUGCUCCUCCGAGGACGUAGAAACACUUGAUAACUCCAAUUCUUCCACUGUCAAAGGUGGCUUGAUGUCUGCAGUUGAUGAGGAAAAUAAGGAUGAUGAUGGAUUUCUUCACUUGAUACACACUGAUCUGUCACGAGUAAGAACAUGAGUGAGUGAGAUACGUUUUCUUCCUCGUCACUCAGUGCUAGUGAAUUAGAUACGUUUUUCUUCCUCGUCACUCGGUGCUGCUACGAGGUGUGACAUAACUCUUGAAAUGAGGUGGUAGUUAGUUGUCAAUUCACUAGUGCUUUAACCAUCUUGAUUUGUACUGCUGCAGUGGAGCAAGAUUGUUUCCCCUUCCAUUUAUGCUUGCAGGAAACCAGGAUUUUCAAAGCCCAUUGGUCUCUUAGACCCUUGGAAUGGUAGAAUAUACAAGACGCUUCUGCUUACGGAUAAGUCCGGGAUGCCUGACAUGACAUGGCCAAGAGACGGAACAGGUUUUGGGAGGAUUGCGAACCACAACCACGCAAUAUAGACGUUUGGAAAUUGUGGAAGAUCAUAUACCAGACUACCAGUAACAACUUUUCUGCAUCAAAUAUGUUUUACAUCCUUUCCACGAGUGGAUAUAAGAUACCUUCACCUAAUUUGGAAAUUGUGUAAUAUGACAUCUGCAUACAAUAAGGAAAAUGUGAUUGUUGCAGCAAAAGCCAACUCCAAGCUCAUUUCUUUCAUUUGACUAACUAGUCAUAAGAUGAAGGGGUUGUCAAGCAGUUUUAUGGCCUUCCCGGUGUUUGUGACUGCAGAUACCAUGUUCUCACUGAUACGACACCCAGAGAAUUUGAUGUUGAUUGUAUUCGGUGGAGGAUACCUGCAAGUGUUGCAUUGAUGUCUGCUGUGGAUGAAGAUGGAUUUCGUCGCAUGACCUACAGUGGAGAAGAUAAGGGAGGCGCGUGUGUAUCUCAUGUUUUACUAGCAGCAACUGUGACGCUGCUGGAUUUUCUUUGCUUUAAGACGGUCGAGGAUGGUGAUUACUGUUGCUAAUCAUUCUUUCGGAGGAAAAAGGAAUGUGUAGCCGAGCAAUAUAAGGCAGUCGAGCCUCGAGGUGUUUUAUGUCGUUGUUAUCUUCUCUUUGCUUUCGUUUGCUUCAAAAGAAUGCGAUGACAUUUGGUAGUAUCGUCAAAAUUAUGGUUUCAAACUA